rnacentral:rRNA from 1 species
AGAGUUUGAUCCUGGCUCAGGACGAACGCUGGCGGCGUGCCUAAUACAUGCAAGUCGAGCGGACUUGAUGGAGUGCUUGCACUCCUGAUGGUUAGCGGCGGACGGGUGAGUAACACGUAGGUAACCUGCCUGUAAGACUGGGAUAACAUUCGGAAACGAAUGCUAAUACCGGAUACGCGAAUUGGUCGCAUGGCCGAUUCGGGAAAGACGGAGCAAUCUGUCACUUACAGAUGGACCUGCGGCGCAUUAGCUAGUUGGUGAGGUAACGGCUCACCAAGGCGACGAUGCGUAGCCGACCUGAGAGGGUGAUCGGCCACACUGGGACUGAGACACGGCCCAGACUCCUACGGGAGGCAGCAGUAGGGAAUCUUCCGCAAUGGACGAAAGUCUGACGGAGCAACGCCGCGUGAGUGAUGAAGGUUUUCGGAUCGUAAAGCUCUGUUGCCAGGGAAGAACGCUUGGGAGAGUAACUGCUCUCAAGGUGACGGUACCUGAGAAGAAAGCCCCGGCUAACUACGUGCCAGCAGCCGCGGUAAUACGUAGGGGGCAAGCGUUGUCCGGAAUUAUUGGGCGUAAAGCGCGCGCAGGCGGUCAAUUAAGUCUGGUGUUUAAGGCUGGGGCUCAACCCCAGUUCGCACUGGAAACUGGUUGACUUGAGUGCAGAAGAGGAAAGUGGAAUUCCACGUGUAGCGGUGAAAUGCGUAGAGAUGUGGAGGAACACCAGUGGCGAAGGCGACUUUCUGGGCUGUAACUGACGCUGAGGCGCGAAAGCGUGGGGAGCAAACGGGAUUAGAUACCCUGGUAGU